GACGAACGCUGGCGGCGUGCUUAACACAUGCAAGUCGAACGGAAAGGCCCUGCUUUUGUGGGGUGCUCGAGUGGCGAACGGGUGAGUAACACGUGAGUAACCUGCCCUUGACUUUGGGAUAACUUCAGGAAACUGGGGCUAAUACCGGAUAGGAGCUCCUGCUGCAUGGUGGGGGUUGGAAAGUUUCGGCGGUUGGGGAUGGACUCGCGGCUUAUCAGCUUGUUGGUGGGGUAGUGGCUUACCAAGGCUUUGACGGGUAGCCGGCCUGAGAGGGUGACCGGCCACAUUGGGACUGAGAUACGGCCCAGACUCCUACGGGAGGCAGCAGUGGGGAAUAUUGCACAAUGGGCGGAAGCCUGAUGCAGCAACACCGCGUGCGGGAUGACGGCCUUCGGGUUGUAAACCGCUUUCGCCUGUGACGAAGCGUGAGUGACGGUAAUGGGUAAAGAAGCACCGGCUAACUAUGUG
rnacentral:rRNA from 1 species